rnacentral:lncRNA from 7 species
GGGACCUCCUUUGACCCAGGCCUCCAACGGAAGUGUACCACUGGUUAACCCAGAAUGGCAACUGUAGACCAAGGCUAUCACAGGCACAGUUUUCCUUUACCCAGGGAGCGGAAAGGAAUCAGUCCAGUAAAUGAAGAUGGAACUGCUUACCCCUUUGUGAGGAAGAGGGCUCACACCGUACUAAACAAGAACAGAAUUUGAAGCAGUGAUCCUUCCCUUGGGGCAGCCAGCCCUGAUAUGAGGAGCUGCUUUGGCAUGGAGGAUUUUCUGGAGUUGCUGCCAGUCGUUGCUGGAAAAGAAGCGUGACUUGUGGGCUCUGAGGAGGGGAUUUCGUGUUUUCAUGGCGUACGAAUGCAUUCCCUUUUCUGUGGAAGUGACCAACCAUCUGCACAGGACGCACUGCGGUUUGGCAGCCAUCCCACACUGCCAGUCUUGGCCAGAGGAACACAGACAGCGCCGACAACUGGCAUGCCAGGGGUGGAUGCUGGGAAAAACACAAGGGCUGUGCUUCAGGAGUUUCUGCAGGUGCACUUCACCCUAGUGAUCGCAGUGCUUGUAACUGUGCUGCUGUCUGGGCUGGUGAUGACCUGUAUUGCUGUGUCGUGGAUGUGGCACAAAUAUCCGUGAGUGUGCAAGAGGGCAGAGACAGCUCCAGGACAAGCUCAUCCUGAGAGUGACCGGGAGAGAGGCCAAUCUGGAGGUGAAGGCAGAGCGGAGCUGGGAGAGGCAACAGAAGAUGCCGUAGUUGCCCAAGAAAAAAAGAAUGUGUCCAGCGGAUCCAGCCCGUUCCCCUCCUCCUUUGAAGCAGAGUUUGAACAGCUGUGCAGCAAAAUCAGCACAGACCCUUCCCCUUUGGCCCACGUGUCCCAGCAGCUCUCCCACGGACGGCGUCUCUUCCCCAGAUGCCCGCGGUUCUCGGGGUUCCCCAUAGCCAUCUAGUGCCCCGGUUACCUGUGUCAGCAGGGCUGGGGUCCCCUGGAAGACCCCGCUUUGUGAGUAAUAGACACCCUGUCC